CAAUGGUCCACGCGAUUUACAUCGAACGGCUGGAGGCACUGCUUCCAUCACGCAGGCUUUCUUGUUUGCUCGAAUCUUCUCGGGUCCUCCCGUCCUCUCUCCUUCCCUGUCCCCCGAGCCUUAUCCUCUCUCUUUGCAUUUUCACUUUCUCCUUCCGUCUUCUCCCUUUCACUCCCUCUCAUUGGCAAGCUCCUUCCGUCCGCCUGCCCUCCACCCCCGCGACCUCCAUUCCUUGGCGAGCUCCGUCCGUCCUGGCAUCCACGCACGGCUCCUGCCAUUCUUCCCUAACAGUCGCCAUUGAAUGUGGCUCAGAUCUUGCUCCGUCCGUCCAUGCGCCUUGGUCCUGCAAUGUGGUCAUGAUGAUGGCCAUCCGCACCUGCAAUUAAUCUGCUCAUGUCUAGGUUCCUGUGGCUGCUGUGCUAAUUCAUAUACCUUCUUAGACAGGGCCAGUUGUUAUCUACAGACGUAAACAGGUUGGGCAUAAAUAUCAACUAGAUGCAACUCUUCUUUUCCUUGUGGGAACUCAUCUGCCUCAACGGUGGGGGAGGGGGGGGACUACUACCUCGCUCAUACCUUCUACAUCAACUCCAUCAUUACUGUCCUAGGAAGGAGAGCUUGAACACCUGCAUCAUCACAAAUACACCAUGUUCAUAAAUGGACCUUCUCCAAUUGCCCAAACGAAUCCUAACAUUACGCAGACUCAGAUCGUGAGCCAAAAGAACUGGUAGUUUACUCCAACAGUCUUCCAGCAGCUGACGUGAUCUACACCCAUGAAGAUGCCCAAUCAAGAUGGUUGGUUACCAAACUGCUGCUGCUGCUUGUAGAUUUUUAUUUUGUUGAUUCUGCUGUUGAUGAGCACUCCUCUUCACCCUCAGCUGACGCAGCUCUUGAUAUAUGCAUAUAUCUCUACGAAUGUAGCACAUGUGCACACGCCCAUAUGUAGGGGAACCUAUCUACCUAUAUGUACUAUAACCAUCCUAUGAACUGUGUAUGAAUAUGAACAAUGCUUACUUAUUUAUAGCUACUUAUUAUGCAAUAUAUUUGCACA